AUUGAACGCUGGCGGCAUGCCUUACACAUGCAAGUCGAACGGUAACAGGUCUUCGGAUGCUGACGAGUGGCGAACGGGUGAGUAAUACAUCGGAACGUGCCUAGUAGUGGGGGAUAACUACUCGAAAGAGUGGCUAAUACCGCAUGAGAUCUACGGAUGAAAGCAGGGGAUCGCAAGACCUUGUGCUACUAGAGCGGCCGAUGGCAGAUUAGGUAGUUGGUGGGAUAAAAGCUUACCAAGCCGACGAUCUGUAGCUGGUCUGAGAGGACGAUCAGCCACACUGGGACUGGGACACGGCCCAGGCUCCUACGGGAGGCAGCAGUGGGGAAUUUUGGACAAUGGGCGAAAGCCUGAUCCAGCAAUGCCGCGUGCAGGAUGAAGGCCUUCGGGUUGUAAACUGCUUUUGUACGGAACGAAAAGCCCUGGGUUAAUACCCUGGGGUCAUGACGGUACCGUAAGAAUAAGCACCGGCUAACUACGUGCCAGCAGCCGCCGUAAUAC
rnacentral:rRNA from 1 species